rnacentral:rRNA from 1 species
CUGACUGCUAUCGGAUUGAUACUAAGCCAUGCGAGUCAUUGUAGUAAUACAAGGCAGACGGCUCAGUAACGCGUAGUCAACCUAACCUAUGGACGGGAAUAACCUCGGGAAACUGAGUAUAAUGCCCGAUAGAACAUUAUGCCUGGAAUGGUUUAUGUUCCAAAUGAUUUAUCGCCGUAGGAUGGGACUGCGGCCUAUCAGUUUGUUGGUGAGGUAAUGGCCCACCAAGACUAUUACAGGUACGGGCUCUGAGAGGAGUGGCCCGGAGAUGGGUACUGAGACACGGACCCAGGCCCUAUGGGGCGCAGCAGGCGAGAAAACUUUGCAAUGUGCGAAAGCACGACAAGGUUAAUCCGAGUGGUUUCUGCUAAAGGAACCUUUUGUCGGUCCUAGAAACACCGAUGAAUAAGGGGUGGGCAAGUUCUGGUGUCAGCCGCCGCGGUAAAACCAGCACCUCAAGUGGUCAGGAUGAUUAUUGGGCCUAAAGCAUCCGUAGCCGGCUUUGUUAGUUUUCGGUUAAAUCUGUACGCUUAACGUACAGGCUGCCGGGAAUACUGCAGAGCUAGGGAGUGGGAGAGGUAGACGGUACUCGGUAGGAAGGGGUAAAAUCCUUUGAUCUAUUGAUGACCACCUGUGGCGAAGGCGGUCUACCAGAACACGUCCGACGGUGAGGGAUGAAAGCUGGGGGAGCAAACCGGAUUAGAUACCCGGGUAGUCCCAGCUGUAAACUAUGCAAACUCAGUGAUGCACUGGCUUGUGGCCAAUGCAGUGCUGCAGGGAA